ACUCGAAGCUGCAGCACAGCUGGGUUUGUUAAAAACGACAUCGCAUCGGGAACGCGGGCAAUGAGCCCCCUCCGCGCGCCUCGGAUCGGCACGGUUGGCUUAUGUACGUGUGCGAAAGAAGUUCAACAUCCGUGUUCACCCUGGUCGAUUGUACGUUAGGCGUCACAUCACGUUAAGAAGCAUUAAUUCACAGCUCUCAGCAGAGCAGUCAAGCCCCCUACGUAUGCGAGAACUGCCCACGGAAGUGGACACCACAGAGCUACCUCCGACAUCCCUUCCAAGUGACUCCUGGGUUCACACCGAGCAGGAGGCAAGCCACUUGCCACUCGCUCCGACAACACGACAGCGAGGCGAAAACUGACAGCCGCCCGGGACACUCCGAGGCCCUUGCAACGGGGCUUAGAGCUACACACCCGGUCCACCGAUCAAGUUGCCGUGGGGACGCGGCGGCAGCGAGCGACGGCGACACGCGCUGGCGGCAGGGACGCG